CGUUAAAAUAAUUUUUCGCCAAAUUUUCGCAUUUGUUGUUUUUGCGAAAUAUGGCUAAAAUUUAACAUUUUAAUCUUCGAACGCCACUCAAUAGGAAAUUUUAUUACGAGUUCAACGAUAUAUGACAUUCCAUAUUUAGACCAUUCCUUUUAUGGAAUCGUAUUAUUUUGGAAGACUGUUUAUCCUGCACCUUGUUUCUACUUUAUUAUUGUCGCUUCUUAUUACGACUUGUGGUGAUGUUCUUUGUUUAAUGCAUUGUUUCUCGUAUCGUUAGUAGUCGGUAAUGAAUCAGAUAGUGUUUUCUUAUUUGUGGAUCAGAUCAGAUUUCGCUAUGUAUGUGAAAAAUGCAGCACCGUACUUCAAAAUUUCUCUUCGACUGCAACGUGAAUCAUUUCGCUGUGGAACUUUCGUUGGGAAAGGUAACCAGUUUUCCGCGUCGUGCUUUUAGUUCUAUGAAAACGAAAGUGAAGCUCACAAAUGUGGGUUAAUGCUCGCUGCGUUCGGCACUCUGUAUAUUCACGUCAAUUUCUAGAAGUAGGAUUGAAAUGGUGUAAUUUCAAAAAUUGGAAUACUUCUAUAAUGCCUUGAGUUUUUGGGGCCGACGCUGCGUAUGGGUAAUAAAAGAUCCAAAGCAGGAGAAUUGUAAGUGGGGUUCUCCAUGUGUGACGGACGCGAACAAACACGGAGAUAGGUCAUCAGUGGUCACAUGGGGAUCCAUCCGAGUGAACGCUUAAUUCAAGUUGAAGGCUUUAUUGAGGCGGCUAAACAAACGCACCUUGGUGCCAAUUUCGGUGCUCAUUUGUUGUUUUUGUCAUGUUUUAUCAACUUUGUUGUCUCUGUGGUGUUUACCUUGCACAGCCGCCGCUUUUCGACACCCACGGAUAUGGAAAAAAAAAGACAUAAAAGAGGCAACGACGGAGGCCUAGACGCCACACGUGGGUCGUGAAAGUUCAAGGCUGCAACAGGUAGACACAACGCACAAACAGAGUGGGUUUACCUGGCAGAUGUGCCCGAAUAUCCGAGGCGCAAAACCAACCAAACGAGCUCCUCCUCGCGGCGGUGGCACAAGGAACAUGGAACCAGGGAUUGGAGAUCUCUUGUGUACGGCUACUUUCCAAUUACAGCAAACGCCGCCUAAUGCGAACGAAGGCAUGGAAAGUUAAUGCCAAUCAACAAGGACUUCUACGCAACAAGCCCGCGCUAUUGAGGUUCGACUGUACUGUGGAUACCAAGGCCCGUGAGUUGCGGAAUGCGCUGCAAUUUGUCUGCUGGCACUACUGAUACCGCUGCAUUGUUACCGCCUUGUUGCAUGCAGCAUGCCACGUCCACGCUCACGUAUGUGUGCAACUUCUUACAUGACGUGGGCGCUGGCAUUUCCUCGAUGCGGUGCACCCAACCCGAAAUGCAAACCCGGAAAAUGUGCAAGAGACUGCAGCACGAAGCGCACCACGCCGUUAUGAUUGAGUAAUUACGUUUGAAAAUCGAGUAAAUGGCCAAGUUCAAAAGCUCUUAGCUGGCUUGCUUCAUCGCUAUAAAUUUAA